GUUUAAACGUUCUUUUAAAAAUUUUACCAUCUUUAAUAACAAUAAAGAGAUGGUGAAUAUAUUGCUAUUCAUCAUCAUAUAAUCUAAUGUAUUACUCUAGUAAAUAUAGCAAAUAACUAAUGAAAGUGUUUCGGAAAGAUGCAUAUGUUCUCUUAUUUAUCAAGAGAACAUCACCAGACCUGUAGCACUACAAAAUUGUUGCAUUUAGUGCACUUCUGCGUAGAAUUUGCACCAUUGUAAUUCACAAGAGGCCAUCAAUGAAGAAUUGGACUAGAUACUUAACUAUAUAGAAAUGCAUGGUUAUGGUAGAAAUAUAAUUUGGAAGAGAUUAGAUGUUAAAUGCUGUAGAAAAGAGAAGCCACAAAGUGAAGAUAGUAAAAUUUAUGUCCAAAAUAUAUUGAAUAUCUCCAUGUUUUUGAAAUAUAAGAGAAAAAUUGAGAGAUCCACAGGAAGGAGGUUGACACUUAGCAGAAGAAAUACACUAUUUAACCUUCUUAGGAAUGAUAACAAAUUGAACCCAGAUCCUUCCUGAAAAACCUAGAAUCCAAAAUAAAAUGUGAUCUAUCAGAUGGAAAUAUAUGGCCACUUGCCAACUCAUAUUUUGAUGCUAUUUUUGUCACAUCAUAAAAAAGUAUAAAAUUAGAGAAUAAUCAUUUUUAUUUAAAUAAGUGCACUUAGGGAGCAGGAAAUUAACAUAAUCUAAAAUUAUAUUGAUUUUCCUAUUGUGCAUAAUCAAAGUGGACAU
rnacentral:lncRNA from 1 species